rnacentral:rRNA from 1 species
UCGAGAGGCUUUGGCAAUGGGGGAAACCCUGACCAAGCGACGCCGCGUGGAGGAUGAAGGCCCUUGGGUUGUAAACUCCUUUUGCAGGGGAAGAAAUGCGAUCAGGUGAAUAAUCUGGUCGUUUGACGGUACCCUGCGAAUAAGCUCCGGCUAACUCCGUGCCAGCAGCCGCGGUAACACGGGGGGAGCAAGCGUUGUUCGGAAUCACUGGGCGUAAAGGGCGUGUAGGCGGUCAGGUAAGUGGGAUGUGAAAUGCCCCGGCUCACCCGGGGACCUGCAUCCCAAACUGCUUGGCUUGAGUAUGGGAGAGGAUGAGGGAAUUCCUGGUGUAGCGGUGAAAUGCGCAGAUAUCAGGAGGAACACCGGCGGCGAAGGCGGCACUCUGGGCCGGCACUGACGCUGAGGAGCGAAAGCGUGGGUAGCAAA